AUUGAACGCUGGCGGCAUGCCUUACACAUGCAAGUCGAACGGCAGCACGGGAGCAAUCCUGGUGGCGAGUGGCGAACGGGUGAGUAAUAUAUCGGAACGUGCCCAGUCGUGGGGAUAACGUAGCGAAAGCUACGCUAAUACCGCAUACGAUCUAUGGAUGAAAGCGGGGGAUCGCAAGACCUCGCGCGAUUGGAGCGGCCGAUAUCAGAUUAGGUAGUUGGUGAGGUAAAGGCUCACCAAGCCGACGAUCUGUAGCUGGUCUGAGAGGACGACCAGCCACACUGGGACUGAGACACGGCCCAGACUCCUACGGGAGGCAGCAGUGGGGAAUUUUGGACAAUGGGCGCAAGCCUGAUCCAGCAAUGCCGCGUGCAGGAUGAAGGCCUUCGGUUGUAAACGUGCUUUGUUACGGAACGAAACAGUGAGCCUAAUACA
rnacentral:rRNA from 1 species